rnacentral:rRNA from 1 species
UGGCGGACGGGUGAGUAAUGUCUGGGAAACUGCCUGAUGGAGGGGGAUAACUACUGGAAACGGUAGCUAAUACCGCAUAACGUCGCAAGACCAAAGAGGGGGACCUUCGGGCCUCUUGCCAUCAGAUGUGCCCAGAUGGGAUUAGCUAGUAGGUGGGGUAACGGCUCACCUAGGCGACGAUCCCUAGCUGGUCUGAGGGGAUGACCAGCCACACUGGAACUGAGACACGGUCCAG